rnacentral:rRNA from 1 species
AAAGCUGGCGCCUUCGGCGUCCGCAUUGUAAUCUCAAGAAGUGUUUUCCGCUUCGGACCAUGCCUAAGUCCCUUGGAAAAGGGCAUCACAGAGGGUGAUAAUCCCGUACAUGGCAUGGAGCGCCCGAAGCUUUGUGAUACGCUUUCUAAGAGUCGAGUUGUUUGGGAAUGCAGCUCAAAAUGGGUGGUAAAUGCCAUCUAAGGCUAAAUAUUGGGGAGAGACCGAUAGCGAACAAGUACAGUGAUGGAAAGAUGAAAAGAACUUUGAAAAGAGAGUUAAACAGUACGUGAAAUUGCCAAAAGGGAAGGGUAGGAGGUCAGAGAUGCGUCGCAGGAUUCAGCCUUGCUUUUGCUUGGUGUUUUUCCUGCGUUGCAGGCCAACGUCGGUUUUGGGCACUGGAGAAGGGUAGGAGGAACGUGGCACCUCUCGGGGUGUGUUAUAGCCUCCUACUGGAUACAGCGACCGAGACCGAGGAACGCAGCGUACUCGUAAGAGCGGGCCUUUUGGCACCUUUACGCUUAGGGCGUUGGCAUAAUGGCCCUCUACCACCCGUC